rnacentral:rRNA from 1 species
UUGACCUCAGAUCGGGCCAGAUUACCC